ACAAAAUACUUUUCGAUUUAUAUUAGAAUUAUUAAGACCAAUGCUCUGUAGACAAAGCAAAAGAUCUGGUAGACAACCAAUAUCUUUUGAAAAACAAUUACUUCUUGCUAUUUGGAUGAUGGCUACACCAAAUUCCUAUAGAUGUGUUUCAGAUCGAUUUAACGUAAGGAAAGCUACUGCAUGGCGAAGUGUACAUAGAGUGAUAAAUGCCUUAUACAAAAAAGUCGGAACAUUUAUUCAUUGGCCAAGUACGGAAGAAGCAAAAAAUUGUAUGGAAAAAUAGAACAUUUAUAUGCUUUCCCAAAUGUUAUUGGUGCGAUAAAUGGGACUCAUAUAAAAAUUAUUGCACCACAUGACAACAAUGAUUCUUAUGUAAACAGGAAAGGAUUUCACUCUAUCCAAUUGCAAGUCAUAUGUGAUGCACAACUUCGAUUUAUCCAUUGUUAUGUAGAACAAGUUGGGUCUGUACAUGACAUGCGCGUAUUUAGGUUAUCCAAUGUGGAAAGCACUGACGAAAAUUUUCCGCAUAACAGUCAUAUAUUAGGUGAUGCAGCAUACAAACUCACAAAAUAUGUUAUGGUGCCAUUUAAAGACAAUGGUCACUUAACUGAAGGUCAAAUACAUUUCAAGCAACGUCUCUCUGUUGCCAGAAUGAUUGUAGCACGAUCAUUAGGCUUAUUAAAAGGCCGUUUCCGAAGCAUUCUGGACACAUUGCCAAUGCAAAGAGCACACCUAAUUGCAAAAUAUAUUAUUUCCUGUUGCAUUCUACAUAAUAUAUGCUUGUUGAAAAAUGACUUAAUAGACAUUCCUGUAAUUAUUAAUGAACCCAAUAUAGCACAACCGCAAUUAGAUAACGAUGUACAAAGAGAAGGAACAGAGAAAAGGAAUGCUAUUAUGUAUUUAUUAUCAAAUAAUUA